rnacentral:rRNA from 1 species
CCUACGGGGGGCAGCAGUAGGGAAUCUUCCACAAUGGGCGAAAGCCUGAUGGAGCAACGCCGCGUGGGUGAAGAAGGUCUUCGGAUCGUAAAACCCUGUUGUUAGAGAAGAAAGUGCGUGAGAGUAACUGUUCACGUUUCGACGGUAUCUAACCAGAAAGCCACGGCUAACUACGUGCCAGCAGCCGCGGUAAUACGUAGGUGGCAAGCGUUAUCCGGAUUUAUUGGGCGUAAAGGGAACGCAGGCGGUCUUUUAAGUCUGAUGUGAAAGCCUUCGGCUUAACCGGAGUAGUGCAUUGGAAACUGGGAGACGUGAGUGCAGAAGAGGAGAGUGGAACUCCAUGUGUAGCGGUGAAAUGCGUAGAUAUAUGGAAGAGCACCAGUGGCGAAAGCGGCUCUCUGGUCUGUAACUGACGCUGAGGUUCGAAAGCGUGGGUAGCAAACAGGAUUAGAUACCCUGGUAUC